UACGUAGGGUCCAAGCGUUGUCCGGAUUUAUUGGGCGUAAAGAGCUCGUAGGUGGUUCGGUAAGUCGGAUGUGAAAACUCGGGGCUCAACCCCGAGACGCCAUCCGAUACUGCUGUGACUUGAGUCUGGUAGGGGAGAUCGGAAUUCCUGGUGUAGCGGUGAAAUGCGCAGAUAUCAGGAGGAACACCGGUGGCGAAGGCGGAUCUCUGGGCCAGUACUGACACUGAGGAGCGAAAGCGUGGGUAGCAAACAGG
rnacentral:rRNA from 2 species